GACGAACGCUGGCGGCGUGCUUAACACAUGCAAGUCGAACGGAAGGGCCUCUUUCGGGGGGUACUCGAGUGGCGAACGGGUGUGUAACACGUGAGUAACCUGCCCUUGACUUUGGGAUAACUUCAGGAAACUGGGGCUAAUACCGGAUAGGAGCUCCUGCUGCAUGGUGGGGGUUGGAAAGUUUCGGCGGUUGGGGAUGGACUCGCGGCUUAUCAGCUUGUUGGUGGGGUAGUGGCUUACCAAGGCUUUGACGGGUAGCCGGCCUGAGAGGGUGACCGGCCACAUUGGGACUGAGAUACGGCCCAGACUCCUACGGGAGGCAGCAGUGGGGAAUAUUGCACAAUGGGUGGAAGCCUGAUGCAGCAACGCCGUGUGCGGGAUGACGGCCUUCGGGUUGUAAACCGCUUUCGCUCAUGACGAAGCUUUGUGUGACGGUAGUGGGUAAAGAAGCACCGGCUAACUACGUG
rnacentral:rRNA from 1 species